rnacentral:rRNA from 1 species
GACGAACGCUGGCGGCGUGCCUAAUACAUGCAAGUUGAGCGCUGAAGGUUGGUACUUGUACCAACUGGAUGAGCAGCGAACGGGUGAGUAACGCGUGGGGAAUCUGCCUUUGAGCGGGGGACAACAUUUGGAAACGAAUGCUAAUACCGCAUAAAAACUUUAAACACAAGUUUUAAGUUUGAAAGAUGCAAUUGCAUCACUCAAAGAUGAUCCCGCGUUGUAUUAGCUAGUUGGUGAGGUAAAGGCUCACCAAGGCGAUGAUACAUAGCCGACCUGAGAGGGUGAUCGGCCACAUUGGGACUGAGACACGGCCCAAACUCCUACGGGAGGCAGCAGUAGGGAAUCUUCGGCAAUGGACGAAAGUCUGACCGAGCAACGCCGCGUGAGUGAAGAAGGUUUUCGGAUCGUAAAACUCUGUUGGUAGAGAAGAACGUUGGUGAGAGUGGAAAGCUCGUCAAGUGACGGUGACUACCCAGAAAGGGACGGCUAACUACGUG